CCGUUUUUAAUUAAUUUGUCCGUUAAAAUUAAACGUAUGGCUCCGCAGAUGUAGGUGUUUAUACAAGAUGUUAUAUAUACUGCUAGUAGUUUUGACAGCUUUAGCUGUACAGAACGUUCGCUGUGAUUCUUACAAAUGGAAAUUUACAUUGAUGGAAGUAACGAAUUCUACACUAGCUAAAAUCGACGUUUUAGAUGGAAGAAAUGUAUUGAAAAUUGCAUCCUAUACCCCGCCAUUACAACCACAGAACAUUAAGCACGAUUUGCAGCAGAUUUUUGAAAAAAGUUCCCAUGUUGUAAAAAUUGACGUGGUUAACAGCCAAGACGAGAUUUCUUACACUGUUAUGCACCACCUGCAAUCAAAUGCUAUACCUCCUUAUUUAUUUGCUGAUUAUAUAUCCCAUGGUCACUCAUAUGAUGGUGGAAACGCUCAGUAUAAAAUCGCACCAACUGUUGUUUUCUCUGAUACAGGUACAGAAACAAGUGAAACAGAUAUAUCAUGGCUCUAUCCGUUACCACUCACUGAGUAUUCAUCGCAACUUAUAUUAUCGGCACCAGAACCACAUACUGAAGGAUUCACUAUUUCACCAUUAAGAAAAUCUUAUCAUAUUCUCCACCAUGAACACCUGGAAGCACAUAACACUGGGAUAAAUGCGGAUGAAACCGAAACAAUCAAUUUAUUUCAACAAGUCUCAACAGUCGCUGUUAAAAACUCUGUUUUUGCUUUUUCUGGUAAUGAAUUUGAAAAUUCUCAUUUAAAAAAGAUCCCCCUAUCCCCCAGUGACAUUGUAUGCACCAGCAGUGUUGAAACAGUUAUUGUUCUUAACAAACAUAUCUACUACUUCUCAAAGCAUGGAGUGCAUCAACUACCGAACUAUGGAUAUGGUUCAGUAAUAAGCAGAGUGAAGGUUGAAACUGAUGAAAUACUUUGUGCUCAACAUGUUAGUACAUCAACCGAUGGUUUCCAAGCCAAUACCAUUCUAGUCAGCUCAGCAAAUCAGAUGUUUAUGUUGGAAAUGAAGGAUUCUCAUGAACAAGAAAGUUCUUUGCCCGGUUUUGUCGUCAUGAAAGAUGGGAAUGGGAAAGACAUUUUUAAUUUUCUCAACCGAAGUCCAGAGAAUUGCACAAUUGUUAGUCAUAUAGUUGGGAACCAGAAAUGCUGUGUGAUGUUUUUUCUCUUGUUUGACUCUAGUACUGAGGAAUAUAUCAUUGCAAGAUAUGCAGUUGAGGAAAUGCAUGAAGAAUUGGCGGAAUGGAGAUUUGAAACUAAGUUUUCCAACCAGCUACCAGCAGAAUUGGAUGGGAACUACGGGUUUGUAUUUCUGGUUCAAUCUGAAGAUCACGCUGAUGAAGAUGAAGACCAUGGUGAUGAAGACGAUGAUCACGAGGAUGAAGACGAUGAUCACGCUGAUGAGGAUGAUGAUCACGCUGAUGAGGAUGAUGAUCACGCUGAUGAAGACGAAGAUCACGCUGAUGAGGAUAAUGAUCACGCUGAUGAAGGCGAAGAUCACGCUGAUGAAGGCGAAGAUCACGCUGAUGAAGACGAAGAUCACGCUGAUGAAGACGAUGAUCACGCCGAUGAGGAUGAUGAUCACACUAAUGAAGAUGAAGACGAUGAUCACGCUGAUGAAGACGAUGAUCACGCUGAUGAAGACGAUGAUCACGCUGAUGAAGACGAUGAUCAUGGUGAUGAAGACGAUGUUCAUGGUGAUGAAGACGAUGAUCACGCUGAGGAAGAAUCAGGUCAUGGUCAUGGUCAUGAGGAAUCCGAGGGCAAGGCUUCUGGCCAUAAAAGAGAAUUUGUCUUGAAGGGUUUGAGUGAUAUUUUUACAUCCGAUGGUUCAUUGUAUUUAUGGGGUGAUGUGGUGCUUGCUUAUGACUUGAGAACCACGUUACUUGCCCUCAUACCAGCUGGGCGUUCUUAUACCUCACUCGGCAAUGUUCAGUUUACCUCAACUAAAUUUGGAGCAUUCUCUGUGCUGACAUCUAAUGGUGACAUAUGGCAAGCUGUUACGGGAGCUUUCUAUCGUGAAAUGGCGAUGAAGAAAAAUCCAAACAAUGCCACAUUAUUAGCUGGAGGAAACUUUUCAAAUAUUCUUGGUUUGUUUUACGACUCCUUUAACGACCUUUAUUUGCUGGCAAUUGUGGAUUCGAAAAUUGAAAGAAUUUUUGUCUCACCAAUAAAUUCAUCUGUGCAUGAAGAUGUUAUCCUUAUUAUGGAAUGUCCAAGACUUGUUGGGCGUGAACGUAAACAAGUGUUUUAUCUUAACCCACCAACAAAUGCAUUCAUGGAAAGCUUUGAUGGUCAGCUACCUUCUGCUGUUUAUACAAGCUCUUUCAACAGCACGAAACAUAUUUCAAGUUAUAUUACUCUUGCAAAUCUAGUUCAUAUUAAACAGAACAUUGGCAAGCAGCUGUGGUGGAACAAGAUUCGAGAUUGGAAUUUUGACGAAACUGGUUUUGAUGACUAUGUUCGCUAUCUUAGUAUAAACAGCAUUGAAUUUCUGAAGAACCAUCAAGCAUAUUCACUUAAUGUGUUGGAUAUAAUACGCCAUGAUCACACUGAGCACGUGAUAGACUGCAGUAUUCCAGAUACAAUUUAUUUUGACAAAGGAGAUCAGAUUAGACUCAGCAUCACUUUAACACAUGGUGGACCCCAUGUUGUCCUGCCAUCUGUAUCUGACCUUCUACUUUUCGCAAGUGUAUCGGAAAACAACGCUGUUCAUAUUUCCAUCACUCGUGAAGCAAAACCUACACAUGCUGUUUUCCAAGUGGUGGUCACUGGCUUGCAACUGGAACAGCAUUCUCCUGGUGUGCAUUUACAACUUGCAACAAUAUUUAUAUGGCCGUGGUAUCCACAGAAGACUGCUGAAAGUAGAGGUGUCCACCUCCAUGUCAAGGUUGGCUGCCCCCCUGGUAUGUCACUGGAGUUUGACAGCAAGCGAUCGAUUGAGAUUCUCGCUUCUAGGGGAAGGACAGAUAACUUUGAAUGUCCGAGUGGUGUGGAAGAUGGGAUACCUUGCUUCACUACAUCAGAGUUUGUCACAGCUUUUUACAUGAAGGAUCAUGUUUAUGGAAAACGGUUUCCUUUUGUUGGUAAUUACACACUGCGAGUGGUAGGUGGGGGUGUGGGGUAUCUGGAAAAUGUUCGCAACUAUACACAAGAGGAAAUUGCUCAGUACAACUACAGGCCAGGUAAUAGAGAUCACCCCGAUUGUCGAAUUUGGAGUGCAAUUACUCCUGGUGGUAUGCAGGACAAUGAAACCGGGGAGCUUAUAUUCAACAGCAUGAACCCACCAAGUAUUGUGUUUGAAUGUAGACUUCUAUCUCCUUGUGGGAGCAUUCCAUUCGGACAGGCAAACCCUUCUGGGUUUUAUCUUGUGAUUGAAACAUCCACCAGAGGUGUAGACACAUCAAGUAAUUGUGACUUCACAAUGAGGUUUGUAAUUCAUUUGAUUGGCAUCGAACUCAAUGCAAAGUCGCAUCUCUAUAUUAUGAUUACAACAUUUGCCAUAAUCUCUACUUUUAUAAUCCUUUUCUACCAAUUCACUGAUGGUAGUGGAAGAAUUUUGUUGGAUAAACUUUUAUCGAAGAGAGGAAAAUCUGUUCUAAAUCUCUCUUCACAUAAUGUGUUUCGGAAAGUUUAUGAGAAAAAUGCUCACAGUUCAACAAUUGCUGCUCAGUAUCAACACCGGGGGAGUGUUGGGGGAUCCCUGCUUGGUCAGACUGUUCAAGACAGAAGUCGCAGCAUUGCGCUCGUGUCUGGUAUAUUUUAUAUGAUAGCAGUCUUAGAAUAUUUAGACAUAUUGCCGGUAUUUAGUAAAGUUAGCAUAGUAGUCGUUGGUAACCUUUGUAGUGCUGAUGUUGUAUGUAGAGACCGGUAGUUUGGAAGACAGUUAGCAUAGUAUAUGUUGCUGUUGUAGAAACAUAUGAUAAAACUUUGGAAAAGUUAUGUUAGAAUUUUUUUGUUAGAAAUUUUUAUAGACCAUGAGCUAUUUCUGAACAAAGAAUAUAUUGUUAGAUCUUCGUAGAAAGUCAGUGAGCCAAAACAGAAUACCCGAUAUAAUGUUGACAUCAAAUGCAGAUGUUACAAGUCGACUUGUCCUACAUGGUAAAUCAAAACACUGAUGACACCACGUUUAUAAAAGAAGCAGAAUUAUAUGAUUUCACUUUGUACUCUUAAAAUAAAAACACUUUGUUAAAGGAAGAAGUCUUAUUGAGUCAAACUUCUACUUACUAUUUAAACCUAUCAUAGUAGACAUGUGUGUAUAAAAGAUACUCACUGCAUGAUUGCUUUAAUCGAGUGCUCAAUAAUGGGUUGACGAAGUUCUACUUUUGUUAAAUCCUAAGCGGGCACGAGGUGUAUGAAACUGAGCACCCCUGUUUUAACGACUGUUGUUGCUAUGCCUCGCGAGGAUAAAUAAGUGACAUUUAUUCAUAUCUUCGGUAUGGUAUAGGGUGUACGGUGUAGUUAGGAAACUUCAUUUCGGAAAAAUGAACUUUUGUAUACGUUUCGAACCGCAGAUGACACAAACAUAUGAUGUCGGCUUCAAAGUAAUAUAAAAUGUUUGACAAACAAGCUACCGUUUGGUGAGUUCAGCCACCGUUUAUAGGAGUAGAAUAUAUUUAGCGGCAAAGUCUAUAACACGCAACCAGAAGAGUCAAUAUCAACGACUGACCGUCGGAGUUAAACAACACCAGUUGCUAACGCUAGCGGUCAACGACUGGAAAAUAAAGGACAUUUCGACCUCAACGUCAUAACAAGGACUUUUGCACCGCCGCAGGCAUAUAGGCGUAUUUUGGUCAGCGUGAAGUAGUAACAGGAUAUCGAUAUACCGGUUAUGUGCGUAGCUUCGAUUUUUAAGUAGCAGGCCUAGAAUACAAUGAGUCGUCCAGAAUCAAAACCGCAAUUUGUAUAACACAGACGCUGAUUUAUGUGCAUGGGAAAGCAAUAUGUGCAGCAAGCUAUUAGAUCUGCGACUUAAAUAAAUAAUGAUAGAGAAAUACAGGAAAUGCCAGUUUCCCCAACUCUAUAGAGGAUAUCACUUGAGUGUUUGAUCGAGCUGUACAACAAAGUUUGCAAUUCCAUACACGUCCUGUCUCAUCGUGUAUGUGUGUUUUUAUAGAUAGCCACCAGGCGUGUGGAUGUUUUAUACCUAAAUAAAGUCCGAGAUCUUAGUACAGUUUAAUCGCAGGCAGUUUUGAAAACCUAACGUUAUAUAUUUAUUGCAAGUUGAUAACUUACCUGCUGGCAAGAUUCAACUGGUCCUAUGGACAUUUUUUGUCUCAUAUUUCUAAUAUACCUAUACCAUAGAGGUAAUAUGACGCAAUAUUGUUUAUACUUCGUUCUAGUUGACAUACAGACUGACCCAUUUGUGUUGUUAUGAAACCGGCAGCAUAUAUGUAUACGGAGUUAUAUAUGGUUGAGGACAGCUAACAACUUUUUAAGUGUACUUCAGUCUAAUUUACUGUAUCUGACGUUCGCUGUAUCAAGAGUUAGAUAAGUUUGCUAUACACUAGUGAGCAGUAUUUACGUUCCACACCAUAUGGAACAGGUUCUUUUAAAUUGGGAAGUAUAGUGCGAUCGCGUUACAUAUGCUGCUAAAGGUGUCUCGUCUCCCCCCACCUUACUAUAUAACGCUGUUAGGCUGAUCUCUCGUUUUACUGGAAAUCUCAAAAGCAGUGCUACAUAAUACUGAAAGUAUAGCCUAUGCUUGUAUUGUUAUCACAGCUGGUAUAUUACAAGUUUUAUCGCAAAAAGUUGUUCGAAUGAACCUUUUUUCACUCAUUUUCGUAUAGAUUCUUAACAACAUUCUUUGCAAAGUCUGUAUGUUGUCUUACAGAGAUUUGUUAACAUUAUGGAGCCGCCCACAUAUACAGUAAGGAAUAUGGCAGCAGACACAACAACAACUUACUGCAAUGCUAACUCGUUUGCCGGCAACAGCUAUGGGCCGAUGACUUUGUUGUCUAGUGAUCAGGAAGUGUUACAUGCUGUAAGCGGAGGACUUGGACUUGAAGCGCCGGCCAUACAGCCUUUUGAAUGGAACAUAAUUAACAACGCUCGAGUAAUGAACCCGGCAUAUGGUUUCUACUAUAAUCAUGAUGUGUUGUGUUCUUACCCGGUGUAUGUUUUACCGCCUGGCUACUUAUACAAUAACUUGAUAGCACAAAAUAUACAGCUGGCCCAAGACGUAUCUUUACCAUCACGAGACGCAAUAGCUUUAAUAUCUCAUCCCCGCGUUACUACAGCACCCAGCACGCCGCUAUUGUUACCAGAAACCCAAUUCGAUGGUCUGCCCGUUCAGCAACCUGUCAAUCAGUCCCUGCAUACAUCCGAUACAUUAU